GGUUCUUGGGAAAGAUAGUAGGGGUUGCAUGAAGGCAAUGGGUGCAGGUGUCAGCAAAAGUUCUCUUAAGGCCAUAACUCCACUGCUGAAGAUGUAUGAAAAAGAGGCUCAGGCGAUUGCUGAAUGGAAACAACAAGUAGAUGGGAUGUUUGAUAGCCUUCAAGCUCAAAUAGUGCAACUCAACCGUGCAGUUCAAACAGGAUCAGGUGGGAGACCGCCCAUACCUGUUGGUUCAAGGUCACAAAUGCAAGUGGAAGUUAACACGGUACGCUUUUAAAUUGUAAUAUUAUUUGAUGCCACCAAGUUAUCCUUAUCCCAUGCAUUAGAGUUCACUAGAUCAUGGAUAAUAACUGUUUGUAAGUUGUUUGUACAAAUUUGUUAAUAUUAUUGGCUUUCAAUGGCGAUGAUUGUUUUGUAAACAAACUACCACAAUAUUGUUUCAGGAGGUUAGUUAGUUUGGUGGUUGUCCUUUCCAAGUCGUCGCAAAGGGAAGGGUGACAGAUGUUAAUCCAAACUCCAAGUGGGGUGCAAGAUGCCUAGGAGAAGGAAAUUUCUUAGUUUACAUUGAGUGUACGUUUAUACCACACGCUAUGUUGCCAUGCCCUCAUGAUGAAUGGUGUACGACUUUGGGACAAAUUGGGCAGGGAUUUGUAAUUUGGCCGAAGAUGUGCCUCGAGUUUCAUCACUAGCAAGGUCAGUUGUUAAUUAUACGCAUGACAUGGUGAUCAUCUCUUGUACUUACAGUUUUUCUAUUUACUACUCAGUUUCUCACUUUUGACUUGAAUAGGCUUUUAGAAGAAUUCCUAGGUCUUAAUAAAUUUUAAUUCUUGAUUAAAAUUUAUUUCAUAUAAAGCCACUGAACAGAUUUGUCAAAAAUCAUGAUCAUCAGCAUGUUCUUGAAUAUAGAAUUGAUUUGUUUACUAUGUGCUUCAUGAGUGUUGUGAUGUUAGAUACCUAGAGAUCACAAUACCUUGUUUCCAUGAAUACAUUAUAUAGAAACACUCUUGCGACUACAUAAAGAUUCAGUACAUACAUCAACAUCUGCAAGUUAGUUAUCUGUCUUCUUAGUGGAGUACAAACAACACAGUUAGCAGUUUUCUUACAAUUGAAGUGACAAUUCUUUUUAAUAUCUUUCAUGAGUUUCAUCUACUUGAUAACCCAAUAUUUGUGCAAUAUAACAAUAGUAAAGCAAACAAUAAAGCAGUAAAUAAAUAAGGAACACACGAUAUUUUUAACGUGGUAAAACCCAAUAUGGGAAACGUCCACGGUUGUCCUUGCGACAACAAAUAAAUCCACUAGAUGAAAAGAGAUUUACAAACCUAUCAACUACCUGCAAUCACUGCGAGUUGACACUCCUGGUUAUCUCUAACACCUUGACUUCACCAGAGCACCUUGAUGUACGCACAAGACACUCGACUUCUUGAUGAACACAUAAGAAGACUCGAAGCCGAUCUAUGAAACAAGCUUACACCAGAGUUCCUUGAUGAACACACAAGGAUACUCGACUUCUUGAUGAACACACAAGAAGACUCGAAGCUAAAUCACUAUUCAACAAUGAAGAAGAAGAUGAAUGGGAAGAAGGAAGAAGAAGAUUAAUGGGAAGAAGAGGAUGAGUUCAAUCACCAAAACAACCUAAACCAAAACCUAAACAAACUCCAAGACUAGAGAUGAAUUGGACGGCCAAAGAACUAACUUGUACUUUGGAAGAGAAAUCCUAUUUAUACUUAGGGUUGGAAUACACAGAAAAUGGGCCGAAAUUGACGAAAUCCAUAUUGGACGUACGUACGUCGAAAUAACGUUCGUACGUCUUCACACGAUAAACGCUUGCUGCCUGCUUGGACGUACGAACGUCCUAACAAGGUACGUACGUCCUGAACAAAAACAAUCCUGCUGCCUAACCUGACGUACGUACGCCCUAACUCGGUACGUACGUUCAACACGAUGAAAGUUUGCUGACCUUAGGGACGUGAAGACAAGGAGUCGAGAUGACGUGCGUACAACAAGGUUUUUCCUAACAAUGUAAUCAAGGCGAGAUAACCAAGGACGACCAAUGUCACAAAAUUGAUGUCAAACAAACUUAGUGCCGGUUUCAAUCUCCCCCUUUGACAUUGAUUUUGUGACAAAAACCUAUGACUCUAAUAGCACUUAUAAAACGUGCUUACAAACCCAAACCAUGGCAUUUAUAAAACAUGCCUACAAAAACACUCAAGGUAGAACACAUACCGAGUCACCAAUUCUUGAUAUCCAGCUUGAGCAAGAUGCUUUAACCAUGAGAGACCAAACGGAAGCAACUACGAAUUUCCGAAGCAAUCAACAGAAGCUCUUUUGAGCAACUUCCCCAUACUGCAUGAGCUCCAAAGUUUGACACUUGAGCUCGCCCAUACGUGUAGCCUACCUGAAACAUGACCCAAAAAUAUCCUAACAACAAAGAGACAAUUGUUAGUAAUUAGAGUCAUAAAUCUCCCCCCUUUUGUCACAACAAGUGAACAAUAGAAUCAAGAAACAAAAGAAACAAAAAGCAAGAAACAAACUUAACCAAGUGAAAAAACCAACACUAAACAAUCAAGACAAAACAGAAAUAAAACCUAUCCGAACUCUUAACCAAACAAGUAAUAACCAAACAUAGGAAUCCAUAAACAUAAGAAACAUUAAAGACAAAACAUAAAACUGAAGUUAACGAAUUCGAAAAACUCGUUCCCAAUGACCUAUAGGAAGCUUGGAGAAAUAAGCUUCCGCACGAGCCGAAGAUCUAUUCCACCGAGCUAUCACAUGAUCAUCAUAAUCCUCCAGCCAUUCACUUAUACAAAAUAACUCCUCGAUUCUGCUGUCCAAACCACAAUCAGUGAGAGGAGCAGCAAGUCCUGAAACUUUCGGGUAUCCAACCAACUCCAAGAUGUGAUUCUGAAGAUGUCCCGGUAAUCUCUCCCAAUGGUUGACAUGAACCACGCACGGAUUAAGAAAAGGUGGAUGAAUAUAGUCAUACCCAUGGGGAACACGACAUAAUCGACAAACCUUUGCAUUGUUUUUGUAUUCCAUCACCAUAAACGACACAUAACCAACAGCCGGAACAAAUACACCAUGAAGUUCAUAUUCUGCCAUUGAAAAUUCUGAAAAACAAAAAGAGAACUAGAAGGAGGUAAGAAGACACAAUAGGAGUAAACCCCCUUAUAUAUAUAGGGAAAACAAAAAAUAAGCCUAACUUGGACCCAAUUAGGAAGAUCCAUUACCUAAGUAGCAGGAAUUUACUAUAAAAUAGAAAGAACCUAGAACUAAUAACAAACUAGCAAUAUCCAAGCACAUACUCAACAUCUAAAUGUAGAAACAAAGCACACCUAAAGGCAAGGCAUAUGGGAAAGAUGCACCCAGAACAAAGAAACCAAACAAGGAUAUUUGAAACACACAAAGAAAGUCAUUUUCACAGCUCACUCACAAACCAUAAUAAGAAGAUAAAAAGGAAAAGAACCGAUGUACCAUAGAAGUGAAGAUGAACACAUCAUGAACUUCCAAAAACAGUAGCCAAUCCCAAUCCGUAAAAAAAUAAGAGGCAAUAUGUUGGGAUAAACAAAAGAUUGAACAAUUAAGAGAAUUGAAGUGCAUCAUAAACUAAACCUCGGUGUGUGUAGAUGCAAUGCAAUGCAUAAAGAGAGAGAAAGUUCACCACUAGAACACACCCUUUGAAGACCUAGAAUAUAGAACCAUCAACAAGAGACAUACGAUUAGCAAGUUAGCUUAGAAGAAACAAACUUCAAUCCCCUUUGAAACAAACAAUAUGAGUGGAAGACAAACGAAUAUAAAUAUGAACUUUCAAACAAAAACCAAGAUAUCCAAAAGGCAAAGGAAUAUAAACUUUGUAUGCCGUACAUAAAAAAAAGGAACAACGAACAUGCGCUUGGAUUAUCAUUUUGCCGCAUGUGGUGGAGUUUAGUCUACAUCUUUCAAUGUCAUUCCCGUGUGGGAGGGACUAAUGCCUCCAUCUUUUCAAUUACACGAGGGUAGGGUGUAGCCUACAUCUUUUUGACAAACACAAACUCAAGAAGUGCAACACCAUGAUAACGUGCAACACAAGAACUAACAUCUCUUGAGUGCAUCCGUCAGAGCAUGACCCUCACAACCCCAACGGGUUCUUAGCCAACUGACAUUGCUCUUAAGACAAUCAAAUGGCUGGGGAUAAGGUGAGUCAUUGACCACUAACAAGAGUUGUAAGAGGAAGAUAAGAAUGCUCAAUAACACGAACAACAAGAUGAACAUUACCCAAAACAGAGGAGCGAUAGCUCAAGUGAACAUAAAUACUCGAGAGAUGGAGAAGUUCUAUGAGCUCAAAGAAUAUGUAAGUGGUUUCCAAAAACUCCCAUCAUGCAAGAAUGCAGUGCACUGUGCAAACAAGCGAGGAAAAAUGCAUGAUACAUACCAAAACAUACUUAAAAGUUCAGAAAGAGAAAAACACCCAAACAUAUUGCAACUUAUUUAAGACAAUUGAAUUAAACCAAUAUCUCAGAAAAAAUGCAUCCAACAGCACAUACAUGGAAUAAAUAAAUAAAACAAAAAAUAGAAGGAAUAACCAACAACCCUUUUUUUUUUUUAUUAACAAUGUAUUCAGACAUGCAACAUGAUCUGCAGGCUAAACAAACAAAGCAUAAAAAAUAGAAACACUAACCAAAUAGCCUAUGUGGUUAGAGAAAUAUGCAAUUCAAAUAACACAAGGCUAGAAACAAACUACAUCAUCCCAAAUAUGGGACACCAUCAGACUUUUGCAAGUCCAGAAAAACCUGCAACUUAUCCUUUCUUACCCAUACUUGUUUAAUACUAGGCGUGCACACCUUGGGAGUUGAAAAGAUAUAAGAUUUCCCCUUAACAAGCUUUUCAAUAGACUUGUCCUUAACUAAUUCCACCUUAGUCUUUGACUUCCUUUUGUUGGAGUGCCUGUUUUUCUUAAACCUAUGAGAAGAAGCAUUAAAAGUCUGAGGUCUAGAAAAUGCACAAGAAGGAACAUAAGAAUCAACAUGAUUAUAACGAUGAGGAACACGAGAAUAGGAUGCAACAUGUUGAUUAAAAUCCCAACAAAAGAUAUUCAAAUGACCAACUCUACCACAAUAAGAACAAUGAAAAAUAUUAGACUUACUCAAGGAAUUCUUAUAAGGAGAUGUGGUAGUAGAAGAUGAAACAUGUAUGUCACCAUUGUAUUUGUGACAUGGUGCCUUAACAAGACCUGUACCUCCACUAUGAGAACAGGAUGUCUUACCAGCAAAAACACCCGUACCAUUAGCCUUAGACUUAAACUUUUUGCCAGAAACAUGCUGAAAAGUAUUAGUAUUAAGUCUAGUCUCAAUAGGUGGGGUAGGCAAAAGGGCAGGCAAACUAGAUUUUACAGGAGUAAUCACACUAGAUGAACUAGUAGAACUAGUAAUAGGAGAAUCAAAUCUAGUUUUGUCCAAAACCUGCAAUUGGAGUUGAGUAGACGUUAAAUCGUUCUUUGUUACCUCAUACUCCACCAAUAGAGAAUUGUAUUUCUCAUCGACCUCCUGAUUGGCCUUCUCUAAAGCUGCAAUUCUACAUAACAAGUCAAGUUUUUCUUUGUCAAAUAAUUGAGAAAUAGAAAUUGUAUCAUCUGCAGCACAAGAAAUUUGUUUUUCAAGAAUCUCAAUUUUAUCCUGGAAAGAAAGAUUAGCCUUUUCCAAAUUUUCAAUUUUGGAUUCAUAAACUUCCCCUUGAAGCAUAUAGUCCUCUGCACAAUGUCUGAGUCGUUGUUCUAGAGAAUCAACCUUAGUCUGCAAAACACCAUUAUCUUCAAAACAAACAUUAUCAGAAAUAGUAGACACAUUACGAUUAGCUUUAUUAAAUUUUUCCUGCAAAUCAAUAUUAGCUUUUUGUAAUCUUUCACAUUCUUUUGCAGAAAGUCUGUAAAGAAGAGCCCAAUCACUAUUGCUAACAACAUACAAAUUAUCAUCCUUUUCAAAAUCAGAUUUUGGUUUUGUAGAUUUAGACGAUUUAGCAAUAAAAUUAUUAUAACCAGACUCAUGAACCAUUAUUGCACUCAUAGGAUCUACGCGUGAGCCAUUACGCUCCAUAACAAGCGCCCUGCUCUGAUACCAAUUGAUAACCCAAUAUUUGUGCAAUAUAACAAUAGUAAAGCAAACAAUAAAGCAGUAAAUAAAUAAGGAACACACGAUAUUUUUAACGUGGUAAAACCCAAUAUGAGAAACGUCCACGGUUGUCCUUGCGACAACAAAUAAAUCCACUAGAUGAAAAGAGAUUUACAAACCUAUCAACUACCUGCAAUCACUGCGAGUUGACACUCCUGGUUAUAUCUAACACCUUGACUUCACCAGAGCACCUUGAUGUACGCACAAGACACUCGACUUCUUGAUGAACACACAAGAUGCAUCGAAGCUAAAUCAAUAUAAACAAUAAUGAAGAAGAAGAUGAAUGGGAAGAAAGAAGAAGAAGAUUAAUGGGAAGAAGAGGAUGAGUUCAAUCACCAAAACAACCUAAACCAAAACCUAAACAAACUCCAAGACUAGAGAUGAAUUGGACGGCCAAAGAACUAACUUGUACUUUGGAAGAGAAAUCCUAUUUAUACUUAGGGUUGGAAUACACAGAAAAUGGGCCGAAAUUGACGAAAUCCAUAUUGGACGUACGUACGUCGAAAUAACGUUCGUACGUCUUCACACGAUAAACGCUUGCUGCCUUCUUGGACGUACGAACGUCCUAACAAGGUACGUACGUCCUGAACAAAAACAAUCCUGCUGCCUAACCUGACGUACGUACGCCCUAACUCGGUACGUACGUUCAACACGAUGAAAGUUUGCUGACCUUAGGGAUGUGAAGACAAGGAGUCGAGACGCGCGUACAACAAAGUUUUUCUUAACAAUGUAAUCAAGGCGAGAUAACCAAGGACGACCAAUGUCACAAAAUUGAUGUCAAACAAACUUAGUGCCGGUUUCACUACUUACGCAUUAGUUUUUAUUUUAUUUUUUUUGUGCUGUCAAAGUCAAUUUCAGAAUGAAGUAGGUCCAGUAACCCGACCCUAACAAUUUCUCACUUUAAGAGUUAACCUUAGCCUUCUCUUUAGGGAGUCUCGACCCUCAGAAAAAUAAACAUGUCUCAUAAUAUGCUAAUAAACCUUAAGGGAGUCUCGACCCUAACAAAAGACACAUGGAAAACUGGUGUGACGAUAUGUCUCUAGCAACCUCAGUGGUGAAUAAUCAUGUGACUUUUGUUGAACGCAAAUGAAGAAGAUCAAGUCUUCAAAUCUGACUCUGUGUGUGUGUGUGUUUGGGGGUGGAGUGGGGGAUUGUUGUGUUCUUAGUUGUUUAUCUUUAUAUGGUAAUUUUUUUCCCUGUUUGCUGGGCGGGUCUGAGUCUCUUUCUCUUGGCUUGUAAGUUCUAUUGUGUAAAGUUUUAUCUAGCCAAAGACAAAAAUUAGAAACAGAGGACACAAAUACAAAUAUUUGAAGAUAAAUAUCACCAUAAGUAUGUUGUCCCAAUUGACAAUCAGCUUUUGAAAUGUUUAUUCUUUUUUCAUCGACUUCCUAAUUAUCCCAGUAAUUAAUUAUGGAACAGAAAAGUAGUUUUUUUUUGAAAUGUUUAUUCUUUUUUCAUCGGCAUCUUUACACUGUAUAUCUUAAUUAUCCUGUAUUUUUGAGAAGAUAGAGUAAAAUAUUCUCUCUUUUGGAAUUGGCAUCUGCAGGCAGUACUGAAAAUGGCUUGUCCUCAUGCAAGCCAAAGAACUAAUGAAGCUUGCAGACAUGGGAGUGUUGGCAGCAGCAACAACAGUGAGCUCAAGUUUUCUGUCUUACAGAUGUUACUACUUUGAGUCAGUGUCUAUUUGUCGAUCCAAGGGAAUGGUCUAUGACUGAGCCAUGUUGGGUAACAGUUUGUUUGCCCAUUAUACCCUUAAUUCAAACAGUUUGUCUAAACCCCCCCAAAAAUCGUUAACAUAACUUAUUUGACAGAAGUUAAGUAGCCGUUUGGAUUACAAUUUUUAAAUUUUGUUAAUGAUUUUUUGGGGGGUUUAGACAAACUGACAGAAGUUAAGGGUAUAAUGGGCAGACAAACUAUGAAUGGACGGAAACUUAGGGGGUGCUUAACAGAAGGGGGUUUACGCCAAGCUUGGACAACAUUAGGGGGUUCUUGCCAAACCCGGUCAAAACUU
rnacentral:lncRNA from 1 species